UUCAAGACUGUGAGGUGUGACUUUUACUGCCUUGUACUGACAGAGUACGUUGCGAUGAUAGUAAUGAUGGUGAUGUGGAACUGUAAAUGUCAUUUUUGAAUGUCAUUGCUAUAGUACUCUGUUGUAGUUCACGUGACAUUCAGGUCACUCCUUUCACACACAGUAUCUCUGGAGUGUUUGACUUAAAGUGAUGUUUAUACCAGAAACCAGUGUUCAGAGAUAUUUUUAGAGAUGGCAGUAAUAUCCAUGUUAACCAUGCAGUGCUUUUGUCCAGGUAACUUUGGACAGAAAGGUUCUGGGUCAAGGACAAAUUAAUGUCUCUCAGAUCAGACAUGCUCCAGUUCUGGUCCCUCCUGCUGGGGCUACAGUGGGGUACCAUGUUCACCCAGGCAGCAGACUCAGAGGCAGGCAAAUGUAUCUCUUCUACAAGCCUGCCUUUAAGUGAAGAGUACUACGAGGCUCUGCAAAAUGUUGAAGAACAGUGUAAAAGCGAUAGGUUGGAGAAAGACCAAGAGUUUGGAGUCAGUCUAUUUGUGAGGAACGGCAGUGGACAGAUGGAACAUGGCAGAAGCAUAUAUGGAGACAAGGCAAAACUAGGAGAGUCAUACUGUGACUUAUACAGUGGUCUUCACCUGCCUGACAGUGUUCCUCAUAGGUUUUUGCUGAACAUCUCUUGUUUGCUAGACUCUCAGAAUGAACUAAAGUGCAGCUGGAACACAACGCACAUCCCUGCUGAUGCUCAGUAUUCCAUCGCUGGUCUACUUUGCAAUGAAGCUAAGGUCCUGAUGUCCUGGAACUGUAUCGUGCAUCACCUAGGAAACCUCACAGGAUGUCAGGGAACGACUACUGAACAUCAAGACCUAUCCAAAAUAAUUAUACGGGUCAAUGUGUCUGUCAGUGGAUUCUGGUAUAUUCACACUGAAUAUUUUGAAACAAUGUGGAUUGAAAAACUGGAUUCUCCAAAGAUUACAAAUUCCUCUUUCAAAGACAUCGGUGGAAAUCGGUGCUUGGAUAUCCACUGGGAAAAGCCUGUAUCCCGAGUAAAAACCACGAUAAAUGCUAAAUGCUUCCUCUAUGAGAUCAAGAUAAAUGAUGAAGUUACAACCUUAAAAAGUGGCUCGUUGAACUACUCUGAGCAAAACACUGAUCCGAGCAGAAAAUACACUGUACAGAUGAGAGUGAACUGGAGUAAAGAUUGUUCAUACUGGAGUCCCUGGAGUGAUUGGAGUGAACCAAUAGUGGUGGGGCCGGCUGUGGGGCCUCAACCUGAAUACAGCGCUUGGAUGAUUCUGGUCAUAGCCCUUGGACUACCCAUGAUCCUCUUGGUCUUCCUGCUUCUUUUCUGCAAGCUCCAGAGGAUUCUGUUCCCACCAAUUCCAAGACCUCACAUACGAAUUAAAGCUCUUCUGGAGCAAGAUGAUGGCUUCCAGACAAUGUCGAAAAAACCUGCUGAGGAGGUCAGUGUUGAGCGUGUGAGUGAAGUGGAUAUAUACAAGCCAUGA
rnacentral:lncRNA from 1 species